rnacentral:rRNA from 1 species
AUGGGGAAUUUUGGACAAUGGGCGCAAGCCUGAUCCAGCAAUGCCGCGUGCAGGAAGAAGGCCUUCGGGUUGUAAACUGCUUUUGUACGGAACGAAACGGUCCUGGUUAAUACCCGGGGCUAAUGACGGUACCGUAAGAAUAAGCACCGGCUAACUACGUGCCAGCAGCCGCGGUAAUACGUAGGGUGCAAGCGUUAAUCGGAAUUACUGGGCGUAAAGCGUGCGCAGGCGGUGCUGUAAGACAGGCGUGAAAUCCCCGGGCUUAACCUGGGAAUUGCGCUUGUGACUGCAGUGCUGGAGUGCGGCAGAGGGGGAUGGAAUUCCGCGUGUAGCAGUGAAAUGCGUAGAUAUGCGGAGGAACACCGAUGGCGAAGGCAAUCCCCUGGGCCUGCACUGACGCUCAUGCACGAAAGCGUGGGGAGCAAACAGGAUUAGAUACCCGAGUAGUCC